rnacentral:lncRNA from 1 species
AAGGAAGUGACAUUUUGAAGUGUUGAAAAUUAUACACAUUGAUGUACGUUCAAAGGAGAGUGAGGAAAUGGAUCUGCCUGGAACAGGGAUUCAAAAUGUCCUUGAUAUUUAUGCUUUUAAAAUGUCUUCUAGGAGUUGUAUAGGGCAUCCUGUUAGAUACAAGUCUCUUCCAAAGAGUUGAGAAACAAGAGUGGUGAGCAUAAAAUGUGGCUCAAACAAUUGUUAUAAUUCCCUUUGUUAAACGGCCAUAUACUGAGUGUGAUUAGUUGUGUGUUUCAUGUCAGGCAGGAUCAAGUAUUUCUUAAGUUAAAUUAGACACUUUGGAUUGGAUGCCAUCAAGAGGGUUGGGUAUCAUUCUGGACUCUGACUCAGGACUUUUAUAUUUACUGCAAGAUUUAUGUCACCAGAUGGCACCAUUUAACUAA